UACGAAGGGGGCUAGCGUUGCUCGGAAUCACUGGGCGUAAAGGGCGCGUAGGCGGCCAUUCAAGUCGGAGGUGAAAGCCCAGGGCUCAACCCUGGAAUUGCCUUCGAUACUGUCUGGCUAGAGACCGGAAGAGGUAAGUGGAACUGCGAGUGUAGAGGUGAAAUUCGUAGAUAUUCGCAAGAACACCAGUGGCGAAGGCGGCUUACUGGUCCGGUUCUGACGCUGAGGCGCGAAAGCGUGGGGAGCGAACGGG
rnacentral:rRNA from 1 species